rnacentral:rRNA from 1 species
GACGAACGCUGGCGGCGUGCUUAACACAUGCAAGUCGAACGGAAAGGCCCUGCUUUUGUGGGGUGCUCGAGUGGCGAACGGGUGAGUAAAACGUGUGUAAACUGCACUUGAAUUUGGGAUAACUUCAGGAAACUGGGGCUAAUACCGGAUAGGAGAUCCUGCUGCAUGGUGGGGGUUGGAAAGUUUCGGCGGUUGUGGAUGGACUCGCGGCUUAUCAGCUUGUUUGUGGGGUAGUGGAUUACCAAGGCUUUGACGGGUAGCCGGCCUGAGAGGGUGACCGGCCACCUUGGGACUGAGAGACGGCGCAGACUGCUAUGGUAGGCAGCAGGGGGGAACAUUGCACAACGGGCGGACGCCUGAUGCAGCAAUGCCGCGAGCGGGAUGCUCGCCUUUUAGUUGUAAACCGCUUUCGCCUGUGACGAAGCGUGAGUGACGGUAAUGGGUAAAGAAGCACCGGCUAACUACGUG